GUAGGGAAUAUUGGACAAUGGGCGAAAGCCUGAUCCAGCCAUGCCGCGUGAUAGAUGAAGGCCCUCUGGGUUGUAAAUAUCUUUUAUCUGGGAAGAAACUCCUCUAUUCUUAGAGGCCUGACGGUACCAGAGGAAUAAGCACCGGCUAACUCCGUGCCAGCAGCCGCGGUAAUACGGAGGGUGCAAGCGUUAUCCGGAUUCACUGGGUUUAAAGGGUGCGUAGGCGGGUUGAUAAGUCAGUGGUGAAAGCUCCGGGCUUAACUUGGAAACUGCCAUUGAUACUGUCAGUCUUGAAUGUCGUAGAGGUAAGCGGAAUGUUGCAUGUAGCGGUGAAAUGCUUAGAUAUGUUACAGAACACCAAUUGCGAAGGCAGCUUACUAUGCGAUAAUUGACGCUGAGGCACGAAAGCGUGGGGAGCAAACAGGAUUAGAAACCCUGUAGUCC
rnacentral:rRNA from 1 species